rnacentral:rRNA from 1 species
CCUACGGGUGGCAGCAGUGAGGAAUAUUGGUCAAUGGACGCAAGUCUGAACCAGCCAUGCCGCGUGCAGGAAGACGGCUCUAUGAGUUGUAAACUGCUUUUGUACGAGGGUAAACGCAGAUACGCGUAUCUGUCUGAAAGUAUCGUACGAAUAAGGAUCGGCUAACUCCGUGCCAGCAGCCGCGGUAAUACGGAGGAUACAAGCGUUAUCCGGAUUUAUUGGGUUUAAAGGGUGCGUAGGCGGCCGGUUAAGUUAGCGGUGAAAGCCCGAGGCUCAACCCCGGAAUUGCCUGGGAUACUGGGGGGGUUGAGUAUGUUUGGGGCAGGCGGAAGGCGUGGUGUACGGGAG